rnacentral:rRNA from 1 species
GACAGAGGGUGCAAACGUUGUUCGGAAUUACUGGGCGUAAAGCGAGUGUAGGCGGUUUGGAAAGUCGGAUGUGAAAGCCCCGGGCUCAACCCGGGAAGUGCACUCGAUACUCCCAAGCUAGAGUAUCGGAGAGGUUGGUGGAAUUCUCGGUGUAGAGGUGAAAUUCGUAGAUAUCGAGAGGAGCACCGGUGGCGAAGGCGGCCAACUGGACGAAUACUGACGCUGAGACUCGAAAGCGUGGGGAGCAAACAGG